rnacentral:lncRNA from 1 species
GGGUACUUUUAUGGUGUGUAGGGGUGCCACUGUGAUGUACCAAGAAGAAGAACCAUAAAAUGAAUAUUUUAUAUUGAUGUAUGUUAUUAGAACUUCAUGCAUGUGAUAUGCUUAAGAUGUUAUGUUAUAAUCAUGUUGUAUGAUUAUGAUUUCAUGUCUUAGAGAUAUGAUUAGAUACCAUGAUUAGUUGUUAUAUUUAUUAAAAUACAGCUAUAAUAGUG